rnacentral:lncRNA from 1 species
GGAUGUGGAGAUUGCCACUUACCGCAGGCUGCUGGAGGGCGAGGAGUGCAGCCUCGGUGGGAGGCAGCGCUGUCAUGUCUGGAGGAGUUGGUGGAGGCUUGGGGAGCACUUGUGGACUCGGUAGUGGGAAAGGCAGCCCUGGGUCCUGCUGCACCAGCAUUGUGACUGGAGGCUCCAACAUCAUUCUGGGCUCUGGGAAGGACCCUGUUUUGGAUUCCUGCUCUGUGUCUGGCUCCAGCGCUGGCUCCAGCUGCCACACCAUCCUGAAGAAGACAGUUGAGUCGAGUCUGAAGACAUCCAUCACCUACUGAGCGACCCAGCAGCCACCUCCUUCCUGAACACAUUUGGCCCACUCCCCCCAUCAGCCGGCUCUGCAAGGCCAACUCCGUGUCCGCUGCCCACAGCCCAAGCCAGCCCACAGCGGAUGCUGCAAAAAUCAAUAAAGUCUCCCCUCCUGC